rnacentral:siRNA from 1 species
GAGGAUGAGCGUGAUCUCGAUGCA